rnacentral:snRNA from 1 species
GUGCUCUCUCUUGUAGCACACGUACUAAAACUGGAACGAUACAGAGAAGAUUAGUAUGGCUCCUGUAUAAGGAUGACAUAUACAUUUGUGAAGUAUUCCAUAUUUAA